UGAGGAAUUUUGCGCAAUGGGGGAAACCCUGACGCAGCAACGCCGCGUGGGUGAUGAAGGCCUUCGGGUCGUAAAGCCCUGUCGGGCGGGAAGAACGUCCCUUCGGGGAAUGACGGUACCGCCAGAGGAAGCACCGGCUAACUCCGUGCAAGCAGCCGCGGUAAUACGGAGGGUGCAAGCGGUAUUCGGAAUUACUGGGCGUAAAGGGCGUGCAGGCGGGAGGGCAAGUCUGAUGUGAAAGCCCGGGGCUUAACCCCGGAAGGGCAUUGGAAACUGCCUUUCUUGAGUUCUGGAGAGGAAGGGGGAAUUCCCGGUGUAGAGGUGAAAUUCGUAGAGAUCGGGAGGAACAUCAGUGGCGAAGGCGCCCUUCUGGACAGCAACUGACGCUGAGACGCGAAAGCGUGGGGAGCAAACA
rnacentral:rRNA from 1 species